rnacentral:rRNA from 1 species
AGCGAACGCUGGCGGCAGGCCUAACACAUGCAAGUCGAACGAAGUCUUCGGACUUAGUGGCGGACGGGUGAGUAACACGUGGGAACGUACCUUUUGGUUCGGAACAACUCAGGGAAACUUGAGCUAAUACCGGAUGAGCCCUUAGGGGGAAAGAUUUAUCGCCGAAAGAGCGGCCCGCGUUAGAUUAGCUAGUUGGUGAGGUAAAGGCUCACCAAGGCUACGAUCUAUAGCUGGUCUGAGAGGAUGAUCAGCCACGCUGGGACUGAGACACGGCCCAGACUCCUACGGGAGGCAGCAGUGGGGAAUCUUGCGCAAUGGGCGAAAGCCUGACGCAGCCAUGCCGCGUGAAUGAUGAAGGUCUUAGGAUUGUAAAAUUCUUUUACCAGGGACGAUAAUGACGGUACCUGGAGAAAAAGCCCCGGCUAACUUCGUGCCAGCCGCCGCGGUAACAC